rnacentral:lncRNA from 1 species
AGAAAAGUUCAUCCAUGACCGAACGUCUUUAAAUCCCCAAGUGACGACUAGUGUCAAAAUUUAGGUGCAAGAAAUGUUCCAAUUUAGUUGCUUUUCAAGCUAGCUAUGUUUGGUGGUAAGACUGGACUAAGUUGGCGUUUGGUGCCAAGAUUUGGAAACUUUUGAAAGUCUUGGUUUUUUAGACUUAGGGGUAGCAAUGCACUCUAUAAAUGCCCAAAUGAUAAUUAGUGUCAAAAUAUAGGUGCAAGAAAUGUUUCCAUUUAGGUUCUUUUGAAGCAAGCUAUGUUUGGUGGUGAGACUGUACUAAGUUGGUGCUAUGUGCCAAGAUUUGGAAAUUUUUUAAAGUCUUGGUACCCCCUAUAUGUUAUUUCCUUAUAUGUCUUAGCACAUAGCACAUAGAAAAGUUCAUCCAUGACCGAAGUCUUGGUCCUAUAUUUUGACACUAGUCGUCACUUAGGGAUUUAAAGAGUGCAUUGCAACCCCUAAGUCUAAAAAACCAAGACUUUCAAAAGUUUCCAAAUCUUGGCACCAAACGCCAACUUAGUCCAGUCUCACCACCAAACAUAGCUNAAAAACCAAGACUUUCAAAAGUUUCCAAAUCUUGGCACCAAACGCCAACUUAGUCCAGUCUCACCACCAAACAUAGCUAGCUUGAAAAGCAACUAAAUUGGAACAUUUCUUGCACCUAUAUUUUGACACUAGUCGUCACUUGGGGAUUUAAAGAGUGCAUUGCAGCCCCUAAGUCUAAAAAACCAAGACUAUCAAAAAUUUCAAAAUCUUGGCACCAAGCACCAACUUAGUCCCCUCUCACCACCAAACAUAGCCAGCUUGAAAAGCAACUAAAUUGAAUUGCACCUAUACUUUGAAACUAGUCAUCAUUUGGGGAUUUCAAUAGUGCAUUGCUGCCCCUAAUUCUAAAAAAAAGACUUUCAAAAAUUUCCAAAUCUUGGCACCAAGCACCAACUUAGUCCAGUCUCACCACAAAACGUAUCUUGCAUGAAAAGCAACUAAAUUGAAACAUUUCUUGCACAUAUAUUUUGACACUAGUCGUCAUUUGGGGAUUUAAAGAGUGCAAUGCAGCCCUUAAGUCUAAAAAACCCAGACUAUAAAAAAUUUCCAAAUCUUGGCACCAAGCACGAACUUCGUCCAGUCUCACCACCAAACAUACCUUGCUUGAAAAUAAACAAAAUUGAAACAGUUUUUGCACCUAUAUUUUGACACUACUCGUCAUUUGGGGAUUUAAAGAGUGCAUUGCAACCCCUAAGUCUAAAAAACUAACACUUUCAAAAAUUUCCAAAUCUUGACACCAAACACCAACUUAGUAUAGUCUCACCACCAAACAUUGCUUGCUUGAAUAGCAAGCAAAUUGAAACAAUUCUUGCACCUACACUUUGACACUAGUUGUCAUUUCGGGAUUUAAAGAGGGCAUUGCAGCCCCUAAGUCUAAAAAACCAAGACUUUAAAAAAUUUCCAAAUCUUGGCACAUAGCACCAACUUAGUACAGUCUCACCACCAAACAUAGCUUGCUUGAAAAGAACCUAAAUGGAAACAUUUCUUGCACCUAUAUUUUGACACUAAUUAUCAUUUGGGUAUUUAUAGAGUGCAUUGCUACCCCUAAGUCUAAAAAACCAAGACUUUCAAAAGUUUCCAAAUCUUGGCACCAAACGCCAACUUAGUCCAGUCUUACCACCAAACAUAGCUAGCUUGAAAAGCAACUAAAUCGGAACAUUUCUUGCACCUAUAUUUUGACACUAGUCGUCACUUGGGGAUUUAAAGAGUGCAUUGCAGCCCCUAAGUCUAAAAAACCAAGACUUUAGAAAAUUUCCAAAUCUUGGCACGAAGCACCAACUUAUUUCAGUAUCACUACCAAACAUAGCUUGCUUGAAAAGCAACUAAAUUCAAACAUUUCUUGCACCUAUAUUUUGACACUAGUCGUCAUUUCGGUAUUUAAAGAGUGCAAUGCAGCCCCUAAGUCUAAAAAACCAAGACUAUCAAAAAUUUCAAAAUCUUGGCACAAAGCACCAACUUAGUCCACUCUCACCACCAAACAUAGCCAGCUUGAAAAGCAACUAAAUUGAAACAUUUCUUGCACCUAUACUUUGAAACUAGUCAUCAUUUGGGGAUUUAAAUAGUGCAUUGCUGCGGCUAUGACUAAAAAACAAGACUUUCAAAAAUUUCCAAAUCUUGGCACCAAGCACCAACUUAGUCCAGUCUCACCACAAAACGUAGCUUGCUUUAAAAGCAACUAAAUUGAAACAUUUCUUGCACAUAUAUUUUGACACUGGUCGUCAUUUGGGGAUUUAAAGAGUGCAAUGCAGCCCCUAAGUCUAGAGAACCCAGACUAUAAAAAAUUUCCAAAUCUUGGCACCAAGCAUGAACUUCGUCCAGUCUCAUCACCAAACAUACCUUGCUUGAAAAGUAACAAAAUUGAAACAGUUUUUGCACCUAUAUGUUGACACUACUGGUCAUUUUGGGAUUUAAAGAGUGCAUUGCAGCCCCUAAGUCUAAAAAACUAACACUUUCAAAAAUUUCCAAAUCUUGACACCAAGCACGAACUUAGUACAGGCUAACUACCAAACAUAGCUUGCUUGAAAAGUAACUAAAUGGAAACAUUUCUUGCACCUAUAUUUUGACACUAGUCGUCAUUUCGGGAUUAAAAGAGUGCAAUGCAGCCUGUAAGUCUAAAAAACCAAGACUAUCAAAAAUUUCAAAAUCUUGGCACCAAGCACCAACUUAGUCCACUCUCACCACCUAACAUAGCCAGCUCGAAAAGCAACUAAAUUGAAACAUAUUUUUACCUAUACUUUGAAACUAGUCAUCAUUUGGGGAUUUAAAUAGUGCAUUGCUGCCCCUAAGUCUAAAAAACAAGACUCUCAAAAAUUUCCAAAUCUUGGCACCAAGCACCUACUUAGUACAGUCUCACCAAAAAACGUAGCUUGCUUGAAAAGCACCUAAAUUGAAACAUUUCUUGCACAUAUAUUUUGACACUAGUUUUCAUUUGGGGAUUUAAAGAGUGCAAUGCAGCCCCUAAGUUUAAAAAACCCGACUAUUAAAAAUUUCCAAAUCUUGGCACCAAGCACGAACUUCGUCCAAUUUCACAACCAAACAUACCUUGCUUGAAAAGUAACAAAAUUGAAACAGUUUUUGCACCUAUAUUUUGACACUACUCGUCAUUUUGGGAUUUAAAGAGUGCAUUGCAGCCCCUAAGUCUAAAAAACUAACACUUUCAAAAAUUUCCAAAUCUUGACACCAAACACCAACUUAGUACAGGCUAAGCACCAAACAUAGCUUGCUUGAAAAGAAACCAAAUUGAAACAUUUCUUGCACCGACAUUUUGUCUCUAGUCGUCAUUUGGGGAUUUAAAGAGGCUAUUGCAUCCCCUAAGUGUAAAAAACCAAGACUUUAAAAAAUUUCAAAAUCUUGGCACCAAGCAUCAACUUAGUGAAGUCUCACCACCAAACAUAGCUUGCUUGAAAAGCAACUAAAUGGAAACAUUUCUUGCACCUAUAUUUUGACACUAAUUAUCAUUUGGGCAUUUAUAGAGUGCAUUGCUACUCCUAAGUCUAAAAAACCAAGACUUUCAAAAGUUUCCAUAUCUUGGCACCAAAAGCCAACUUAGUCCAGUCUCACCACCAAACAUAGCUAGCUUGAAAAGCAACUAAAUUGAAACAUUUCUUGCACCUAUAUUUUAACACUAGUUGUCAUUUGGGGAUUUGAAGAGGGCACUGCAGCCCCUAAGUUUAAAAAACCAAGACUUUAGAAAAUUUCCAAAUCUUGGCACGAAGCACCAAACAUAGCUUCCUUGAAAAGCAACUAAAUUCAAACAUUUCUUGCACCUAUAUUUUGACACUAGUCGUCAUUUCGGGAUUAAAAGAGUGCAAUGCAGCCUCUAAGUCNCUUGAAAAGCAACUAAAUUCAAACAUUUCUUGCACCUAUAUUUUGACACUAGUCGUCAUUUCGGGAUUAAAAGAGUGCAAUGCAGCCUCUAAGUCUAAAAAACCAAGACUAUCAAAAAUUUCAAAAUCUUGGCACCAAGCACCAACUUAGUCUACUCUCACCACCAAACAUAGCCAGCUCAAAAAGCAACUAAAUUGAAACAUUUCUUUUACCUAUACUUUGAAACUAGUCAUCAUUUUGGGAUUUAAAUAAUGCAUUGCUACCCGUAAGUCUAAAAAACAAGACUUUCAAAAAUUUCCAAAUCUUGGCACCAAGCACCAACUUAGUCCGGUCUCACCACAAAACGUAGCUUGCAUGAAAAGCACCAACUUAGUCCAGUCUCACCACAAAACGUGGCUUGCUCGAAAAUCAACUAAAUUGAAACAUUUCUUGCACCUAUACUUUGGAAUUAGUAAUCAUUUGGGGAUUUAAAGAGUGCAUUGCUGCCCCUAAGUCUAAAAAACCCAGACUAUCAAAAAUUUCCAAAUCUUGGCACCAAGCACGAACUUCGUCCAGUCUCACCACCAAACAUACCUUGCUUGAAAAGUAAGAAAAUUGAAACAGUUUUUGCACCUAUAUUGUCUUUUGGGGAUUUAAAGAGUGCAUUGCAACCCCUAAGUCUAAAAAACUAAAACUUUCAAAAAUUUCCAAAUCUUGAACCAAGCACCAACUUAGUACAGUCUCACCACCAAAAAUAGCUUGCUUGAAAAGCAACCAAAUUGAAACCUUUCUUGCACCUACAUUUUGACACUAGUCGUCAUUUGGGGAUUUAAAGAGGGCGUUGCAGCCCCUAAGUCUAAAAAACAUAGACUUUAAAAAAUUUCCAAAUCUUGGCACCAAGCACCAACUUAGUACAGUCUCACCACCAAACAUAACUUGCUUGAAAAGCAAGUAAGUGGAAACAUUUCUUGCACCUAUAUUUUGACACUAAUUAUCAUUUAGGCAUUUAUAGAGUGCAUUGCUACCCCUAAGUCUAAAAAACCAUGACUUUCAAAAGUUUCCCAAUCUUGGCACCAAACGCCAACUUAGUCCAGUCUCACCACCAAACAUAGCUAGCUUGAAAACCAACUAAAUUGAAACAUUUCCUGCACCUAUAUUUUGACACUAGUCGUCACUUAGGGAUUUAAAGAGUGCAUUGCAGCCCCUAGGUCUAAAAAACCAAGACCAAAAGUUUCCAAAUCUUGGCACCAAGCACCAACUUAGUAUAGUCUCACCAAAAAAUAUAGCUUGCUUGAAAAGGAACUAAAUGGAAACAUUUCUUGCACCUAUAUUUUGACACUAAUUAUCAUUUGGGCAUUUAUAGAGUGCAUUGCUGCCGCCAAGUCUAAAAAAAUAGACUUUCAAAAAUUUCCAAAUCUUGGCACCAAGCACCAACUUAGUCCAGUCUCACCACAAAACGUAGCUUGGUUGAAAAGCAACUAAAUUGAAACAUUUCUUCCACAUAUAUUUUGACACUGGUCGUCAUUUGGGGAUUUAAAGAGUGCAAUGCAGCCCCUAAGUCUAGAAAACCCAGACUAGAAAAAAUUUUCAAAUUUUGGCACCAAGCACGAACUUCGUCCAGUCUCACCACCAAACAUACCUUGCUUGAAAAGUAACAAAAUUGAAACAGUUUUUGCAGCUAUAUGUUGACACUACUCGUCAUUUUGGGAUUUAAAGAGUGCAUUGCAGCCCCUAAGUCUAAAAAACUAACACUUUCCAAAAAUUUCUUGCACCUACAUUUUGACUCUAGUCGUCAUUUGGGGAUUUAAAGAGGGCAUUGCAUCCCCUAUGUCUAAAAAACAGAGACUUUAAAAAAUUUCUAAAUCUUGGCACCAAGCACCAACUUAGUACAGUCUCACCACCAAACAUAGCUUGCUUGAAAAGCAACUAAAUGAAAACAUUUCUUGCACCUAUAUUUUGACACUAGUCAUCAUUUCGGGAUUAAAAGAGUGCAAUGCAGCCUGUAAGUCUAAAAAACCAAGACUAUCAAAAAUUUCCAAAUCUUGGGACCAAGCACCAACUUAGUCCACUCUCCCACCAAACAUAGCCAGCUCGAAAAGCAACUAAAUUGAAACAUUUCUUUUACCUAUACUUUGAAACUAGUCAUCAUUUGGGGAUUUAAAUAGUGCAUUGCUGCCCCUAAGUCUAAAAAACAAGACUUUCAAAAAUUUCCAAAUCUUGGCACCAAGCACCAACUUAGUAUAGUCUCACCACAAAACGUAGCUUGCUUGAAAAAAAACUAAAUUGAAACAUUUCUUGCACAUAUAUUUUGACACUAGUCUUCAUUUGGGGAUUUAAAGAGUGCAAUGCAGCCCCUAAGUUUAAAAAACCAAGACUAUCAAAAAUUUCCAAAUCUUGGCACCAAGCACGAACUUCGUCCAGUUUCACAACCAAACAUACCUUGCUUGAAAAGUAACAAAAUUGAAACAGUUUUUGCACGUAUAUUUUGACACUACUCGUCAUUUUGGGAUUUAAAGAGUGCAUUGCAGCCCCUAAGUCUAAAAAACCAAGACUUUCAAAAGUUUCCANCUUGAAAAGCAACUAAAUUCAAACAUUUCUUGCACCUAUAUUUUGACACUAGUCGUCAUUUCGGGAUUAAAAGAGUGCAAUGCAGCCUCUAAGUCUAAAAAACCAAGACUAUCAAAAAUUUCAAAAUCUUGGCACCAAGCACCAACUUAGUCUACUCUCACCACCAAACAUAGCCAGCUCAAAAAGCAACUAAAUUGAAACAUUUCUUUUACCUAUACUUUGAAACUAGUCAUCAUUUUGGGAUUUAAAUAAUGCAUUGCUACCCGUAAGUCUAAAAAACAAGACUUUCAAAAAUUUCCAAAUCUUGGCACCAAGCACCAACUUAGUCCGGUCUCACCACAAAACGUAGCUUGCAUGAAAAGCACCAACUUAGUCCAGUCUCACCACAAAACGUGGCUUGCUCGAAAAUCAACUAAAUUGAAACAUUUCUUGCACCUAUACUUUGGAAUUAGUAAUCAUUUGGGGAUUUAAAGAGUGCAUUGCUGCCCCUAAGUCUAAAAAACCCAGACUAUCAAAAAUUUCCAAAUCUUGGCACCAAGCACGAACUUCGUCCAGUCUCACCACCAAACAUACCUUGCUUGAAAAGUAAGAAAAUUGAAACAGUUUUUGCACCUAUAUUGUCUUUUGGGGAUUUAAAGAGUGCAUUGCAACCCCUAAGUCUAAAAAACUAAAACUUUCAAAAAUUUCCAAAUCUUGAACCAAGCACCAACUUAGUACAGUCUCACCACCAAAAAUAGCUUGCUUGAAAAGCAACCAAAUUGAAACCUUUCUUGCACCUACAUUUUGACACUAGUCGUCAUUUGGGGAUUUAAAGAGGGCGUUGCAGCCCCUAAGUCUAAAAAACAUAGACUUUAAAAAAUUUCCAAAUCUUGGCACCAAGCACCAACUUAGUACAGUCUCACCACCAAACAUAACUUGCUUGAAAAGCAAGUAAGUGGAAACAUUUCUUGCACCUAUAUUUUGACACUAAUUAUCAUUUAGGCAUUUAUAGAGUGCAUUGCUACCCCUAAGUCUAAAAAACCAUGACUUUCAAAAGUUUCCCAAUCUUGGCACCAAACGCCAACUUAGUCCAGUCUCACCACCAAACAUAGCUAGCUUGAAAACCAACUAAAUUGAAACAUUUCCUGCACCUAUAUUUUGACACUAGUCGUCACUUAGGGAUUUAAAGAGUGCAUUGCAGCCCCUAGGUCUAAAAAACCAAGACCAAAAGUUUCCAAAUCUUGGCACCAAGCACCAACUUAGUAUAGUCUCACCAAAAAAUAUAGCUUGCUUGAAAAGGAACUAAAUGGAAACAUUUCUUGCACCUAUAUUUUGACACUAAUUAUCAUUUGGGCAUUUAUAGAGUGCAUUGCUACCCCUAAGUCUGAAAAACCAAGACUUUCAAAAGUUUCCAAAUCUUGGCAGCAAACGCCAAGUUAGUCCAGUCUCACCACCAAACAUAGCUAGGUUGAAAAGCAACUAAAUUGAAACAUUUCUUGCACCUAUAUUUUGACACUAGUCGUCAUUUGGGGAUUUGAAGAGUGCAUUGCAGCCCCUAAGUGUAAAAAACCAACACUUUAGAAAAUUUCCAAAUCUUGGCACGAAGCACCAACAUAGUCCAGUCUCACCACCAAACAUAGCUUACUUGAAAAGCAACUAAAUUCAAACAUUUCUUGCACCUA